UCCUACGGGAGGCAGCAGUGGGGAAUAUUGCACAAUGGGCGCAAGCCUGAUGCAGCGACGCCGCGUGAGGGAUGACGGCCUUCGGGUUGUAAACCUCUUUCGCCAGGGACGAAGCGCAAGUGACGGUACCUGGAGAAGAAGCACCGGCCAACUACGUGCCAGCAGCCGCGGUAAUACGUAGGGUGCGAGCGUUGUCCGGAAUUACUGGGCGUAAAGAGCUCGUAGGUGGUUUGUCGCGUUGUUCGUGAAAACUCACAGCUUAACUGUGGGCGUGCGGGCGAUACGGGCAGACUGGAGUACUGCAGGGGAGACUGGAAUUCCUGGUGUAGCGGUGGAAUGCGCAGAUAUCAGGAGGAACACCGGUGGCGAAGGCGGGUCUCUGGGCAGUAACUGACGCUGAGGAGCGAAAGCGUGGGGAGCGAACAGGAUUAGAUACCCUGGUAGUCCACGCCGUAAACGGUGGGUACUAGGUGUGGGUUUCCUUCCUUGGGAUCCGUGCCGUAGCUAACGCAUUAAGUACCCCGCCUGGGGAGUACGGCCGCAAGGCUAAAACUCAAAGGAAUUGACGGGGGCCCGCACAAGCGGCGGAGCAUGUGGAUUAAUUCGAUGCAACGCGAAGAACCUUACCUGGGUUUGACAUGCACAGGA
rnacentral:rRNA from 1 species